UGGGGAAUUUUGGACAAUGGGCGAAAGCCUGAUCCAGCAAUGCCGCGUGUGUGAAGAAGGCCUUCGGGUUGUAAAGCACUUUUGUCCGGAAAGAAAUCCUUGGCUCUAAUACAGUCGGGGGAUGACGGUACCGGAAGAAUAAGCACCGGCUAACUACGUGCCAGCAGCCGCGGCAAUACGUAGGGUGCAAGCGUUAAUCGGAAUUACUGGGCGUAAAGCGUGCGCAGGCGGUUUGCUAAGACCGAUGUGAAAUCCCCGGGCUCAACCUGGGAACUGCAUUGGUGACUGGCAGGCUAGAGUAUGGCAGAGGGGGGUAGAAUUCCACGUGUAGCAGUGAAAUGCGUAGAGAUGUGGAGGAAUACCGAUGGCGAAGGCAGCCCCCUGGGCCAAUACUGACGCUCAUGCACGAAAGCGUGGGGAGCAAACAGGAUUAGAUACCCUGGUAGUCCACGCCCUAAACGAUGUCAACUAGUUGUUGGGGAUUCAUUUCCUUAGUAACGUAGCUAACGCGUGAAGUUGACCGCCUGGGGAGUACGGUCGCAAGAUUAAAACUCAAAGGAAUUGACGGGGUCAUAGCUGUUUCCU
rnacentral:rRNA from 1 species